ACAAACUCCGCUGGGGAUAAGAUGAAUGGUUGGCGGUUACUGAGCAAAUAUUCACUUAUACCACAGGGAAGCACAAGAGACAGUCACAAGGCCAAUUUAGGAUCAAACCAAAAAGGCAAACUGAAUCAAGACUUGUCCUAAUGAGGAUGUAACUCAAUAGGGAAACCCAUCCCAAUGUAUGUGUUGGGAGGAAACGGAAACAACCGUCGUCCACGAGGAUAUAACUCAGUGGGGAGUGCAGAAGGAAAGAUAAACACUUUCUGCUUAAGGGGCUGACUCUAUA
rnacentral:lncRNA from 1 species